AGCUGGUGGGGCCCCAUUUCUUCUGCCUUCCACGUAACAAACAAUGGCUUCCGUAAGCUCUUCUCCCAUGCUUGGAUGCAACAUUGACCGGUGAGAACUUUUGGCACGCAGACCAAGGAAAAUGGGGGCCAGAGCUAGGUGACGAGUACACGUGAGACUCCCACGGUCACACGUGCGGGUGCUCAGCCUCGGGUUCCCAACCCCAUAAAGGAGCCGAGGUGAUGGGUGGGU
rnacentral:lncRNA from 1 species